GUGGGGAAUCUUGCGCAAUGGGCGAAAGCCUGACGCAGCCAUGCCGCGUGAAUGAUGAAGGUCUUAGGAUUGUAAAAUUCUUUCACCGGGGACGAUAAUGACGGUACCCGGAGAAGAAGCCCCGGCUAACUUCGUGCCAGCAGCCGCGGUAAUACGAAGGGGGCUAGCGUUGCUCGGAAUUACUGGGCGUAAAGGGCGCGUAGGCGGACAGUUUAGUCAGAGGUGAAAGCCCAGGGCUCAACCUUGGAAGUGCCUUUGAUACUGGCUGUCUUGAGUACGGGAGAGGUGAGUGGAACUCCGAGUGUAGAGGUGAAAUUCGUAGAUAAUCGGAAGAACACCAGUGGCGAAGGCGACUCACUGGCCCGUUACUGACGCUGAGGCGCGAAAGCGUGGGGAGCAAACAGGAUUAGAAACCCUUGUAGUCC
rnacentral:rRNA from 1 species